CCCUUAGAUGUUCUGGGCCGCACGCGCGCUACACUGAUGCAUUCAACGAGCCUAUCCUUGACCGACAGGUCCGGGUAAUCUUUGAAUCUGCAUCGUGACGGGGAUAGAUUAUUGCAAUUAUUAAUCUUCAACGAGGAAUGCCUAGUAGGCGCAAGUCAUCAGCUUGCGUCGAUUACGUCCCUGCCCUUUGUACACACCGCCCGUCGCUGCUACCGAUUGGUUGAUCUGGUGAAUUAUUCGGACUGCCGGCUGAAGGGGUUUCCUCAUCUGCCAGCGGAAAGUCUUGUUAACCCUAUCAACUAGAGGAAGCAGAAGUCGUAACA
rnacentral:rRNA from 1 species